CUCCGGCCACGCUGCAGCCAUGCUGCACCCCCCCUGCCAUGCCUCCCUCCCCCCCAUGGCUGUACAGGGAGGCUGGCAGAGGACAGAGGAGCCUGAGCAGAGGGCUGGAUUGAAAGGAGGAGCCCAAGAGGGGCUGAAGAGAGAAAGAACCCUCAGGAAGGAGGGGCUGAGUCCAGCCUGAACAAGGGAUUGGAAGAUUUUUGCUUGGGAGGACAAGAAAUAAGGUGAUAAAAGGGCUGUUUCUGAAGGGCCAGCAGCAGCACUGUGCUAUCCUACAGGAAACCUCCGGAGCUGCAGAUCCCUGGGCCUGGUGCGCUGCUGGGCGUGAAUGCGAUAGCAGCUCUGAAAAGGGCUGGAAUUGAAGGAGAGAAGAGGAGAAUGCCUUACGAACAGACAGGAGGAAAAAGGGAGUUUGUUCUUUUAAGGGCUUGAUCCUGUGUGCUGAGUGCUGGAGUUGAGAGAACUCAGCACCACACAAAUUUCACUCAGCACCUUGCAAGAUUGGGCCCUACACACUUUCCUCUGAUUAUUGGGGUAAUGCUUUCUUUUCCUAGGGGAAGGUAAACCUACCCUACCAAGCAGGAAUUAUUAUUAAUAAUAACAAUAACAUAUAGCACAUUUCCUUCCAAAGGAAAUCACAGUCAUUGCUUUUACAGUAUGGACAGGGAUAAUCAAACAAGCCACUGAACUGCAGCCAUCUCUGGGGUGGAAACAUAGCCAUCAUUCAGCACUUACAACACUACAAAGCAGUCAGACACAGGGCCGCCCAGGGGACGGGGGCAAGUGGGGCAAUUUUCCCCAGGCCCCGGGCCCCACAGGG